rnacentral:rRNA from 1 species
AGUCGAACGGAAGUCGUUGUAAUGAAAUGGAAAUGGACAGAGAACUUGUUCGAAGAAAGUUGAAGUAGACUUACAACAAUGGCUUUAGUGGCGGACUGGUGAGUAACGCGUAAGGAACCUGCCUUUUAGAGGGGAAUAACAAUGAGAAAUCAUUGCUAAUACCGCAUAUGCCGAGAGAAUCACAUGGUACAAUCGGGAAAGGAGCAAUUCGCUAAAAGAUGGCCUUGCGUCUGAUUAGAUAGUUGGUGGGGUAACGGCCUACCAAGUCGACGAUCAGUAGCCGGACUGAGAGGUUGAACGGCCACAUUGGGACUGAGAUACGGCCCAGACUCCUACGGGAGGCAGCAGUCGGGAAUAUUGCGCAAUGGAGGAAACUCUGACGCAGUGACGCCGCGUAUAGGAAGAAGGUUUUCGGAUUGUAAACUAUUGUCGUUAGGGAAGAGAAAGGACAGUACCUAAGGAGGAAGCUCCGGCUAACUACGUGCCAGCAGCCGCGGUAAUACGUAGGGAGCGAGCGUUAUCCGGAAUUAUUGGGUGUAAAGGGUGCGUAGACGGGAAGAUAAGUUAGUUGUGAAAUCCCUCGGCUUAACUGAGGAACUGCAACUAAAACUGUUUUUCUUGAGUGCAGGAGAGGUAAGUGGAAUUCCUAGUGUAGCGGUGAAAUGCGUAGAUAUUAGGAGGAACACC